CCCUUAGAUGUUCUGGGCCGCACGCGUGCUACACUGAGUGGAUCAGCGGGUCAGGUUGCGCGAAAGUGUUUCCUAAUCUUGAAAUCCGCUCGUGAUGGGGAUUGACGGUUGCAAUUUUCCGUCAUGAACGAGGAAUACCUUGUAAGCGCGGGUCAUCAUCCCGCGCUGAAUACGUCCCCGCCCUUUGUACACACCGCCCGUCGCUCCUACCGAUUGAGUGGUCCGGUGAGGCUUUGGGAUCUGAGCAAAAAGAGCGUUUCGCUCGUUUGGCUCGGAAAACUCAGUCGAACCUUAUCAUUUAGAGGAAGGAGAAGUCGUAACA
rnacentral:rRNA from 1 species